GAAAUGCGAUAAGUAAUGUGAAUUGCAGAAUUCAGUGAAUCAUCGAAUCUUUGAACGCACCUUGCGCUCCUUGGUAUUCCUUGGAGCAUGCCUGUUUGAGUAUCAUGAAAUCUUCAAAGUAAAUCUUUUGUUAACUCAAUUGGUUUCUACUUUGGUAUUGGAGGUCUUUGCAGCUUCACACCUGCUCCUCUUUGUUCAUUAGCUGGAUCUCAGUGUUAUGCUUGGUUCCGCUCGGCGUGAUAAUUUAUCUAUCGCUGAGGACACUGUAAAAGGUGGCCAAGGUAAAUGCAGAUGAACCUCUUCUAAUAGUCCAUUGACUUGGACAAUACUUUUAUGAUCUGAUCUCAAAUCAGGUAGGACUACCCGCUGAACUUAAGC
rnacentral:misc_RNA from 1 species